UAGGGAAUCUUCGGCAAUGGACGAAAGUCUGACCGAGCAACGCCGCGUGAGUGAAGAAGGUUUUCGGAUCGUAAAACUCUGUUGUUAGAGAAGAACAAGGACGUUAGUAACUGAACGUCCCCUGACGGUAUCUAACCAGAAAGCCACGGCUAACUACGUGCCAGCAGCCGCGGUAAUACGUAGGUGGCAAGCGUUGUCCGGAUUUAUUGGGCGUAAAGCGAGCGCAGGCGGUUUCUUAAGUCUGAUGUGAAAGCCCCCGGCUCAACCGGGGAGGGUCAUUGGAAACUGGGAGACUUGAGUGCAGAAGAGGAGAGUGGAAUUCCAUGGGUAGCGGUGAAAUGCGUAGAUAUAUGGAGGAACAACAGUGGCGAAGGCGGCUCUCUGGUCUGUAACUGACGCUGAGGCUCGAAAGCGUGGGGAGCAAACAGG
rnacentral:rRNA from 1 species